rnacentral:misc_RNA from 1 species
GAUGAAGAACGCAGCGAAAUGCGAUAAGUAAUGUGAAUUGCAGAAUUCAGUGAAUCAUCGAAUCUUUGAACGCACAUUGCGCCCCCUGGUAUUCCGGGGGGCAUGCCUGUCCGAGCGUCAUUACAACCCUCAAGCUCAGCUUGGUAUUGGGCCCCGCCGACCCGGCGGGCCCUAAAGUCAGUGGCGGUGCCGUCCGGCUCCGAGCGUAGUAAUUCUUCUCGCUCUGGAGGUCCGGUCGUGUGCUCGCCAGCAACCCCAAUUUUUUUCAGGUUGACCUCGGAUCAGGUAGGGAUACCCGCUGAACUUAAGCAUAUCAAUAAGCGGAGGA